GCAAGCCAAAGGCGUUUGCCUUUCUCCAACUACUAAGGAAGGACAGGGCUUUCUCUUAAGCCUACCACUGCCUCCCACCGGACCGCUGCCCCUACAGAGAGGAGCUGUCCUGCAUCCUCUCACUUCCCCACGUAUCAUUACCACUUCCCUACUUCUGACGCUUACCUGAAGCUCCUGGUCCCUACGAGCCUUAGAAACAAAGUUGUCCUCCCUCGUGAUCCGCAAAAACCGCGGCCACCUGGAUCCAUUAGGCGCGCUAAUACCUCUGGGGAACGCCACCUGCCAAUCAGGAAAAGCGGGGAAUCUGGAUCCGUCUUCAAACGCUGCUCCUGCCCCCGGCCAGGGCAGAGGGACGCUGGCUGAGGGCAGUGUAAGAGCCGUGGGGACGUGGUCCUGGAUGCACGAGGAAGAGCUGACCGUGCCGCGUUCCACGUCGCUGAGCCCUGCCGCGCGCCUCGUGGGCCGCCUGGGAGCCCUCGGCGCGCUGGGAAGCCGUGGGAAGAAGAGAGGAAGCUGGCGUUGGUCAGGAGCCCGAUUCUAAAAGGACACCCUUUGACUUUUAUACCUUUGGUCUGAGAGUAUGGCGGGAACGAAGAGAAGAAGCGGAGGCAGAAAGGACUGAGCCGGCGGCCUUUGGUAGGUAAGCUCUGUGCGGAGCUCUGUUCUUCCGCAGCCCCAAGCCCGCCUUCCCCGUGGGUGGGACAGCGGUCAUGCUGCCUAAGGUUGAGGGGGCAGGCGUACGGGUACCCGCUAGGACCACGUAGAGACGGUUAGCUCCCUAGGCUGAUGCUGGCAGAGGGGAGGCUGCAGAAACCAGGCGGUUGAAAC
rnacentral:lncRNA from 9 species